rnacentral:rRNA from 1 species
UACGUAGGGUGCAAGCGUUAAUCGGAAUUACUGGGCGUAAAGCGUGCGCAGGCGGUUGUGCAAGACAGAUGUGAAAUCCCCGGGCUCAACCUGGGAAUUGCAUUUGUGACUGCACGGCUAGAGUGUGUCAGAGGGGGGUAGAAUUCCACGUGUAGCAGUGAAAUGCGUAGAGAUGUGGAGGAAUACCGAUGGCGAAGGCAGCUCCCUGGGAUAACACUGACGCUCAUGCACGAAAGCGUGGGGAGCAAACAGG